AGUGAUGGCUGGUUCUGGUGUUGCUGUGAGGCUGCAUGAGUUCAGAGAGUCCAGGGACCUGGAGGAACUGAAUAGGUCCACGGCAAGAACGUCACGUCCGGGCAGAGAUGCACACGGAUUAUACCCGGGACAGCUAGGAAGAGUCCACACAAUCCCCUCCAAGGAUUGUGGGUUCAUUCGUCGCAGUGGACGAUGUCACGAGUCUCUAAACCAGCACCAGGAAAAUGACCGGCCCAGUUUAGACAUUCAGACCCUGAGAGAAGAGGUUCUGCAUCACAGCGCUGCUCUCGCCCACCAGCGCCCCCUUCAGACCACGUACCAGGAGGACUUCUGUCAUCAGUCCCUUCUCUUUCCUCAGUGAAACGACGUUACACAGGAAUCUGGAAAGUUCUUCCAGCAAUCAUCACUCAACCACUCACAGCUGCAGCUGCCUCGUGUGGCCACAGGGGGGAG